rnacentral:rRNA from 1 species
CCCGGGCCUCGUACACACCGCCCGUCAAACCAUGGGAGUGGGUUGCACCAGAAGUGGAUAGUCUAACCUUCGGGAGGACGUCUACCACGGUGUGGUUCAUGACUGGGGUU